rnacentral:rRNA from 1 species
UACAGAGGGUGCGAACGUUGUUCGGAAUUACUGGGCAUAAAGCGCGCGUAGGCGGCGACGCAAGUGUCGGGUGAAAUCCCACGGCUCACCCGUGUGAAUUGCCUGGCAUACUGCGUUGCUCGAGUGUGGUAGGGGAGAGCGGAACUCCUGGUGGAGCGGUGAAAUGCGUAGAUAUCAGGAGGAACACCGGUGGCGAAGGCGGCUCUCUGGUCCACUACUGACGCUGAAGUGCGAAAGCUAGGGUAGCGAACGGG